AGCGAACGCUGGCGGUAGGCCUAACACAUGCAAGUCGAACGGCAGCACAGUAAGAGCUUGCUCUUACGGGUGGCGAGUGGCGGACGGGUGAGGAAUACAUCGUAAUCUACUUUUUCGUGGGGGAUAACGUAGGGAAAUUUACGCUAAUACCGCAUACGACCUACGGGUGAAAGCAUGGGAUCUUCGGACCUUGCGCGAUUGAAUGAGCCGAUGUCGGAUUAGCUAGUUGGCGGGGUAAAGGCCCACCAAGGCGACGAUCCGUAGCUGGUCUGAGAGGAUGAUCAGCCACACUAGAACUGAAACACGGUCCAGACUCCUACGGGAGGCAGCAGUGGGGAAUAUUGGACAAUGGGCGCAAGCCUGGUCCAGCCAUACCGCGUGGGUGAAGAAGGCCUUCGGGUUGUAAAGCCCUUUUGUUGGGAAAGAAAAGCAGCACGUUAAUACCCAGCUGUUCUGACGGUACCCAAAGAAUAAGCACCGGCUAACUUCGUG
rnacentral:rRNA from 1 species